CCAAGGGGUAAGGCGGGAGGAUAAGAUUCACUACAUUAUGGAUUCGAACCUCGAGUCCACGGGGAUGACGAUUGUGAAGCGUUUUGAAAGCCAGUAUGCAACCAUUACCUAAAUAGGUUGUCAUAACAUAAUUUACUACUAGUAUAAACAUCACUCCCCGCAGCACACAAUAAACCCACAUGCAUAUAUGGCCGUGCUUGGAGUAUGGAUACGAUGUCAUCCACCCAAUUUCAAUACACUCUGCAUUGAAUCUCAGUUAGGGAUGGCAUCCGGGGCGGGCGGGUACGGACACUGGACCCCGGCCUUGCCCGUUAGUACAUCCGGGUUUCUAUAACUCCGGGCCCGGAGCCCAGGGGAAAACGAAGCCAAGGCCCGCCGUCGGAGGCCCGGGUUACCGGGUCAAGCCUGUUAGAUAAUAAAUAAAAGACCUCACACCUGCUUGAAAGUUGAAUCUGCGAAAACACCCUACAUCAGAGCUCCCUGUAGGACAGCCUCCAUAGCAACCACCAGAUGCUUCCCCCUGACGAUUCAUCCACCGCGCCACCGCCACCUCAUGUGGUUGAGCUGCUGAGUACAAUAAGUCAAUAGCGGCAAUUAUGGAGAAAGAAUAAGAGGUUGCGCCGAUCUCCUCAGUCGGAGAAGGCUGCAACGGUUACCAAAUCGGUGGAUAUUAAAGAGGAUCCCGCUGCCGACGGAGCAGAGGGCGAUAAGAAGGAGAAACGUACGAUGAAGAUUCUGCUGCCGCAGUCAUUGAUUUCAUUGAAGAAAGACAACAAUCGAUUCCAUUGAUUUCAUUAAUUCCGAGAGCUUUGAGUUCAAGCACAAAAGCAUUUGGUGCAUGAAGCUCUCUACUCGCUCCUUCACCUCUCCACCAAAGGAGGAGAAUUGAAGAUUGGAAUCGAUCUGAAUUCGAAAAGACUGAAUUGAAGAUUGGAAUCAGUAAAGUGAGAAGGGGGAUUAAUGGCUGACACGCACGAAAUGGGUCAUUGAUGAAUCUGACCGAGUUUCCGGGGCGGAUACCACAAUCCCGAUACCCUACCCGUACCCCUGUUUCGGGUGGCGGGUUUACCUGAAUCCGGUCAAACCCCUGUUUUGGGUGGCGGGUUUACCCGAAUCCGG
rnacentral:lncRNA from 1 species